AUGAAUUAGAAGUUCUUGUGAUGUAAAAAAACAUAGGUUAAGGACAACUCGGGUGAAGAACAACACAGCGAAGAAGAAGACGAGUUGAAAAAAAUUAGGGACGUUUCGUAUUUCUGUUGAUGAUGAUGAGAU
rfam:Arabidopsis thaliana chromosome 4, complete sequence.